UCUUCCUCCUAUCCACUGUGCGGCACUGCGCUAUUUCAAUCGUCGCUGUGACAGCGGGGCGGCAUCCGGCGCCGCUGCAUAUAUAUAUAUAUAUAUGCACACACACAGGUGGGUGGCAUUACCUCAGUCUCAUGCUUUCUCUUGAGCUCUCCUUGUGGUGGUAACUGCAGCCGAGCGGGCUGGAUCUGGCGUGAUCGAUCGGGACGUACAUAAUAUCGCUGGUACAGUGACGCUGGGAGACGGGUCGCUCCGUUCAGCGUGCCGUGGGUGCUUCUGUGACGACAGGUCUAUUUGCUGCUGUUUUUGUUGGAUCUCCUCCGCCUGCAUUGCUGCUAUGCUGCGCCACGGCUAACCGGGUUGCAGCUAAACGUGUGGUUCAUUGGGCGUCAUCGCUUCCCUGGAGUGGCUGCUGUUUCGGCUCUUUUGUGACGUUUCUUCUUUUUGCCGGUUCUGUUCGCCGGCUCUUCGUUGCGGCUCUCUUAUGUUACGGCUCUCUUUUUAGUGUUUACAACUUGCUGUUUCAACUGUGUUGGUUUGGUGAGCCUCGGCGGUAGUUUAAUCCCUGGUGGUGGUUCACAGAUCCCCUUUUUCGUUGGUGUGUCGUGUCACAGGUGUGAUUAUUUGGACCCCUUUUUCCCUUUUGAUUUUCUGAUUAUUUCUUAUUUUUGUCUGCCGCCAUGGUAAGCCAACCUACUCCUUAAUAUUUAAGUUGAGUACUCCUGAUUUCCUAUUUUAAACUGUGGCCUUUACUUAUUUAAAAUUAAUAAUAUAAUUUAAUAAAGAAAUUGUUAUAUUUUUGGAAACACGUCUCUUGCCCGAGUGAUUUCGAACCUGUGGGCCUUGAGUGUUUAAAUGGUCCUUGGUUGAUCAUGUGAGUACUGAGUAGAAUGUCCCGGGGGUGAAAUUUCCCUGGGUGGCGUUGUCGCAACAUCUAUUUAAAUCCUAGCCAUUCAUUCCCCUUCCUCUCCAAGAGUUCCCCUCAUCACGCCACAUAUAGAGAGUGGAUUGAUGGAUCUACUCGGCGUGGUAUGGCUCGCCACUACUAUACUGGACUCGGCUCGUCUCAGUUUAGUUGUUUUUCCAUUACAGUGAGUACCACCUCAUCUUUCGUGGAGCCGUCAUAGCGCGGCCCGAAAGUCCCUUAAAGUCAUUUGUGUGCGACACAAACACAACACAACAAUGGACAUGGAGACGAUUAUGGAAUAAAUUUCCUAUCAUAAUUCAAGAGCAUUUUAAAUUGAUUUGAGGGCAGCAUUUAUCGAUUUCAUUCUCAGAUUUUGGGAUAUUGUCUCUCAGAACUCUGCUCUCGCGCUCAAAUUUGCUCUGCGUGUGCUCAAACUGUGUCCUCGCACUUGGUUACGAUGCUGCUUGCGCAGAUUUCCUGCACUCAAACUCAAACUCUUCCUCUUGCUCUCAUGGAACUUCUGCUCUGCUCUCAGAUUUUUUGUGUAUCAACGCUGUCAACCAAUAGAAGGCCGGCGAGCUUUGACCAAUCAGCUUAUCCCUGUUUGUAUACGGGUGCGUUCGCUGUUUUCCGAGGAGCGUCGCAUACGGGCGGGCACUCUUUCAACAGGUUUUAUCCACUCCCUACCUCCGGGACUGUAAUAAAUGUGAUUUAUUUUAUUUUUUGACCACUGUUGGAAUAAAAUAUCAUUCAAUGCAUACAACAGCGUCCGAGCUUCUCAUUAAAAUGGCUAUACUGUAUAAUAAUAGCGGCAUCGAACACUGCUCUUUGAGGUGUCCUGGUGGAGAAAAGAAUGUCACCAUCCUGAAGCUAGCAGCGGGACAGCAGAUGGCUUGCUAAAAUGGACCGGCAAAGUCGAAGCGCUCAGGCAAGUUAUUAAUGAAAACUAUAAAAUAUUUAUUUGAUCAUAUACCUGGUUUUAAACAUACAUGAACACUAUACAAAAUGUAUUUAUAUAUCCCUGUAUUUUCUUUGUUUUGUUUUGAAAACGAUUUAUAUCAUUAAUAAUCGGAUGCUAUCCUCAUCAGGAAGUGGUACUGAAAAUGUUAAAUAUAAGCAUUCUUGUUUCAGGUUAUGUUUAAUGUGCAAAUGAGGUCAGUACACUCAGAUAAGACAAUGCGCCAAUAUGCACUGCUUUCUUUUCCAACAGAACCUGCUCAGACAUCAUAUCUUUGAAAGACUGCAAACCAAGUUUCAGUAUGUCAUCAGUCAUCCUUACUUGGACCUUGACAACAUAUGAGGACGGCUCUUUUAUGGGACUUCAUGGGAUGUACCUGAAACAGCAGCACAUGAGCCUGCAGUGGCACAAGGUGUAGAGGUAGACACUGUACUUGGACCUGGCUGAUGCCGCAGAAAUCAAGAGCUCUUUCGUGAUGGGAAUCUUGGUCACCCUGCCAUGUUGAGUGACAUAGUCACACACAAGCCUGUGCGCAACAACAGUGUCCUCCUGCAUGUUACACGUUUCAACUUCAACGUUGGACAAAGAGGGCAGGAGGAUUCCUGCAGGCGACGGCUGACGUUACUGUGAGCGUAUUGCGUCAUUUCCUGUUUCAGCACUGUGUCGUGUUGUUAGCAUGGCUUCUGCUUCUGCCUCUUCCUCUCCCUCUCCCUCUCUCUCCCUCUCCUGCUCAGUGUGCCACAUGUUUAGUUAUUCCUCUGCCUCCUUUAGUGAUAACAAUAUGUGUAAUAAGUGCAGCCUUUUUGUAGUUCUGGAGGCGAGGCUCUCCGAAUUGGAAUCGCGGCUCCGCACCAUGGAAAAUAACCCGCUAGCAGCUAGCCAAGCCCCUUAGCCGGUGCGGACCGCAAUAGCUUAGCUAGUGUAGCAUCUGUUAGCCGUCCCUUAGCAGCGCCCGAACAGCCGGGUGGAUGGGUGACAGUUCGUAGGAAAAACAGUCCUAAACUCAAGCCUGCUGUCCCAGCUCACCACAAACCGCUUCAUGUUUCUAAUCGUUUUUCCCCGCUCAGCGACACACCCGCUGAGAAACCAACUCUGAUCAUUGGCAGCUCCAUAGUCAGAAACGUGAAGCUAGCGACACCAGCGACCAUAGUUAAAUGCCUCCCAGGGGCCAGAGCGGGCGACAUAGAAGCAAAUUUGAAACUGCUGGCUAAAGAUAAUCGUAAAUAUAGUAAGAUUGUUAUUCACGUCGGCGGUAACGACACCCGGUUACGCCAAUUGGAGGUCACCAAAAUUAGCGUGGCAUCGGUGUGUACUUUCGCCAAAACCAUGUCGGACUCCGUAGUUUUCUCUGGACCCUUGCCUGAUCUGACCAGCGAUGACAUGUUUAGCCGCAUGUCGUCGUUUCGCUGCUGGUUGUCUAUGUGGUGUCCAUCAAACGACGUGGGCUUUAUAGAUAAUUGGAGCUCUUUUGGGGAAAACCUGGUCUGAUUAGGAGAGACGGCAUCCAUCCCACUUUGGCUGGUGCAGCUCUCAUUUCUAGGAAUAUGGCUGAUUUUAUUAGUACUCCUAAAGCAUGACAACCCAGAGUUAAGACCAGGAUGCAGAGCUGUAGUCUUACACACCUCUCUGCAGUUUCCUCACAGCUGUCAUCCUCCAGUAAUUCAGUUAACUUUAUUGAGACUGUGUCUGUCCCCCGACCACCAAAAUUCAAUAAAUUAAACAAAUCAAAAAUAUACAAAAGAAAUAGUAACCACAAAAAUUUAAUAAAAAUUAAUACCUCUAUUUCAACAGAGCAAAGAAACAGGAAAAUUAAAUGUGGUCUGUUAUUAUGUCUAUUAGAUCUCUCUCGUCUAAAUCUCUGCUAGUAAAUGAGUUGAUAACUGAUCACCAGAUUGAUUUGUUCUGUUUGACUGAAACCUGGUUGCAGCAGGAAGACUUUGUUAGCCUAAACGAAUCAACUCCCUCUAGUCAUAUUAACUGUCAUAUUCCUCGAAUCACAGGCCGAGGAGGAGGAGUAGCAGCAAUCUACCAUUCUAGUUUAAAAUUGAACCAGAGGCCUAAACCUGACUACAGCUCAUUUGAAAAUCUCAUUCUUAGUCUCUCUCAUCCAAAUUUGAAAGCUCAGAAACCAGUUUUAUUUGUUGUUAUAUAUCGUCCUCCUGCUCCUUAUUCUGAGUUUUUAUCUCAAUUCUCAGACUUUUUAUCUGAAUUAGUGCUCAGUUCAGACAAAGUUAUAAUUGUGGGUGACUUUAACAUUCAUGUUGAUGUAGACAGCGACAGCCUUACAACAGCUUUUAAUUCAUUAUUAGA